rnacentral:rRNA from 1 species
GAUGAACGCUGGCGGCGUGCCUAAUACAUGCAAGUAGAACGCUGAAGGAAGGAGCUUGCUCUUUCCGGAUGAGUUGCGAACGGGUGAGUAACGCGUAGGUAACCUGCCUGGUAGCGGGGGAUAACUAUUGGAAACGAUAGCUAAUACCGCAUAACAGUAGAUGUUGCAUGAUAUCUACUUAAAAGGUGCAAUUGCACCACUACCAGAUGGACCUGCGUUGUAUUAGCUAGUUGGUGAGGUAACGGCUCACCAAGGCGACGAUACAUAGCCGACCUGAGAGGGUGAUCGGCCACACUGGGACUGAGACACGGCCCAGACUCCUACGGGAGGCAGCAGUAGGGAAUCUUCGGCAAUGGACGGAAGUCUGACCGAGCAACGCCGCGUGAGUGAAGAAGGUUUUCGGAUCGUAAAGCUCUGUUGUAAGAGAAGAACGAGUGUGAGAGUGGAAAGUUCACACUGUGACGGUAUCUUAACAGAAAGGGACGGCUAACUACGUG